CAAGUUAUAUUUUAGGAAUAUUAUUACUUACAAUAAUAAUUGGAUCGUGCAAUUCGUUCUAACUUGA
rnacentral:tRNA from 2 species